CAACGUGAAGGAUCACAGUAAAAACAGACUGGCCCCCGGCCUCUGUUGAAGUGUCUGCCUGGUUCCCAGGGUAUUCUGCGCUGGCGCUACACUGCCUUCGCUACUAUGAGGGAACCGCCAGGGGACCAGGUCGUUGAGGAGAAAGCAGAAAUCCAGACCUUUCUAAAAAUAGCUACAGACGCGCUUGCAACGGAUGUAGUAAAAUAUUUCAGCUUCACACCGAAGCCGGGAAGCUGUACACAGUGGUGGCACUCGAACGUACACAUGAAGAUUUACAGUGGAAUCAAGCCUUAUAAAUGUUGAAUGUGGGAAAGAAUUUACACCAUCAAGUAGUCUGCAAACACUCAUGUGGAUUCAUAUUGAAUCGCUUCCAAGGAAUGUGCUCAAUGUGGGGAUGUGUUCAAUGUGGAGAACAAUUACACAUUCAACAAGUAUGGAGAGAGAGAUGAGGAUUCACAGUGAAUCAAGCCUUAUGAAUGUGCUUGAAUGUGGGAAGCAAUUUACACACUCAGGUACUCUGCAGACACACAUGAGGAUUCACAGUGGAAUCAAGCCUUAUGAAUGUGUUGAAUGUGGCAAGCAAUUUACCCACUCAGGUACUCUGCAGACACACAUGGGGAUUCACAGUGAAUCAAGCCUUAUGAAUGUGUAGAAUGUGGCAAGCAAUUUACACAAUCAGGUACUCUGCAGACACACAUGAGGAUUCACAGUGGAAUCAAGCCUUAUGAAUGUGUAGAAUGUGGGAAACAAUUUACAUACUCAACUAAACUGCAGAGACACAUGUGGAUUCACAGUGGCAUCAAACGUUAUGAAUGUGUUGAAUGUGGGAAAGAAUUUGCACACUUUAUAGUCUGCAGAGACACAAGAGGAUUCACAGUGGAAUCAAACCUUUUGAAUGUGUUGAAUGUUGGGAAAAUUUUACACAAUCAACUAAACUGAAGAGACAUAUGAAUGUUCACAGGAAUCAAACCUCAUCAGUGCAUUGUAUGUGAGAAAACAUUUACACUACCAUCUGAACUUCAGAGGCACAUGAGGGUUCACACGGGAAUCAAGCCUUAUAAAUGUAUUGAAUGUGG